UUUUUUUUUUAAAAACUGUCUCAAUAGUUGGUAAGCAUUUACUUACAAUUAUUUUUUUCCUCCAGAUGAUGGCAUAAGUAAUUGAUUUGAUAAAAGGCUGAAACAUAUGAAAUCAGUAAACAACCAUCAAGAUGAAUUUGACACACUUCCAAACUCACAAACACCUAGCAAAAGUUUUGUUCAGUACCAAAGGAAUUGAGACAUUUCCCAUGGUGCAGAAUAUCUUCAGUUCCCUCUCUUCAAACUCCGAGGAUCUUCAGAUCUGCAUCCCCUCCUUCCUGUAAAAUAUUCCCAGAAGAAUGUUAUUCAGAGAAGGAUCUCCCAGGUCAUCCAUCAAUGCUGUCAGACCUCAAAAUCUACUAGAGUAUGAUGUGAACCCACAGGAAUCCAGAGACAGAAGUCAUCAAAAUGGAGGCAAGAGAGCAGGACCUUCUGAGCUGGAUUCUUUGAGGCAGGUUGAAUAA
rnacentral:lncRNA from 1 species